rnacentral:rRNA from 1 species
GACGAACGCUGGCGGCGUGCCUAAUACAUGCAAGUCGAACGAACCGCGACUAGGUGCUUGCACUUGGUCAAGGUGAGUGGCGAACGGGUGAGUAACACGUGGGUAACCUACCUCAUAGUGGGGGAUAACAGUCGGAAACGACUGCUAAUACCGCAUAGGACAUAGGAUCACAUGAUCCAGUGAGGAAAGGUGGCGCAAGCUAUCGCUAAGAGAUGGACCCGCGGUGCAUUAGCUAGUUGGUAGGGUAAGGGCCUACCAAGGCGAUGAUGCAUAGCCGACCUGAGAGGGUGAUCGGCCACAUUGGGACUGAGACACGGCCCAAACUCCUACGGGAGGCAGCAGUGGGGAAUCUUCCGCAAUGGACGCAAGUCUGACGGAGCAACGCCGCGUGAGUGAAGAAGGUCUUCGGAUCGUAAAGCUCUGUUGUUAGAGAAGAACAGCGCAUAGAGUAACUGUUAUGCGUGUGACGGUAUCUAACCAGAAAGCCACGGCUAACUACGUG